rnacentral:lncRNA from 1 species
CAUGACAUGGGUAUGGAUACAUGAUUUCAUACAUAAGAUUGGUGAAACUAUGGAGGAAAUAAGCAAUGUUUUAUUACCUUGACUAAACUAGGUCUACAGGAUAUAGAUUGACAAUUGACAGAAUAUUAAAAAUGAGGAAGGUGAUUACUAUAAUGACAUGUUUGGCACGAAAGAUUGGAUAGCAAGUAAAAAUAAGUUAAAAUCACGUUUGCAGUCCUGCGAGCACUAAAUGUAUAGGAAAUGUCGAGGUAUUGCAAUUUCUGUUCACUUAUCACUAGAUCACGAUAUUCAACUAUACAUUUAUAUCAUUCCCUUUUUCGUCUAAAUAUUUAAAAACUCAGCAAAUAAACAUACGUUGUUUAAUCUAUACAAUAUCUUCGACAUUUAUACAAGAUAAUUUCAUGGGGUUGGUAUGGAAAAUAAGUUAUAUGUACUCUCAACUCUAUAAACAUGGAGCAUAACUACCAUUUCUAGGUAAGGAAUUUUUUUCAAAAUGCCUUCUUACUAUGAGAAUUUAUUGGUCAUUUUUCCCAAAAAUAUGACAAAUUAUGACUGUAUGCACCAUUUCGUCAAUUGACAAAUUAUAGUUGUCACUUUUGGCAAAUAAAUUUAAGACCUGGUAUUCAGUUAAAAUUAUCCACUCGCAAUCCCAGAUAUACAUGUACUCCUAAAAAAAGAUCACAUACUAAAAGUUUAUGUUCUAAAUAUAAUUUUAUUAUUAUUAUUAUUUUUUUAUUUUUUU